CUCAGGGCACUGGGCCUGGUGUGGAAUCGUCCUGAAAGCAUCUAGCGCUCAGGCCUUUAUUCCUCCCUCAGGUGGGACUCAUCCUACUUCCUCUAUUCCUUCCUUCCCCUGCUGGAGGCUGCCCCUCCUUCAUCAUGUGGGGUUGAGCAAACCACAGGCCGGACACCCAUUAACCCUUGCUCCAGGGCCCCGAGACCCUGGGGAGACAUUUUCAACUGAGGGGAGCACCAGACUGGGGACUCCAAUCAACAUCCCUAUUCCCAGACCAGGUCUCUUUGGGCCAUUCCCACACCUCAUUCCCCAAAGUUCCCAGAUUUAGAAAACAAAAAUACAGGUCACCUAGUUACAUUUGAAUUUCACACACCCAAUGAUUAUUUUUAGUAUAAGCACAUCCCAUGUGAUGCUUGGAAUACACUUCGACCAAAGAUGGUAAUUUUGUUUGUUUGCUUAUUCAUAAUUCAACUGUGACUGGAUGUUCCAUGGAACCUGUCAUGUCCCCACCCCAUCCCGCCGCCGAGUGACCCACACCCACACCCACUCCUGCGGCGGGAGCACAGGGCUGCCAGUCAGGCACUGGCCUGCUCUGGGGAAUGAGGUGACCGGGGUACUCAUGAGCAGAGAAAAAGAGCAUUCCAUGUCACUCAAAAGAAAACAGAACGGUGAAUUUCAGCUCUCUGCCUUGCUCUAUUGACGUUGACCGGGAACAUGCCUGGACUCUGAAAGGGAUAUUGACUGGUAGACAAGCGGCCCUUUCAUUUGUGUCUGCAACGCUCCUUCCAGGGGCUGGUGCCCACUCCCCUGUGGCCCGUUUGGCACACACUUGGGGUGGGAUGCGCAGUGGCCCUUUGCCUCUCUGGAGGUUCCUGUUCUGCUGGGCUCCUCUGAUGCUCCGAGUACAAAGGCCGCUGCACCAGGUGAGGCCCGAACUGCAAGAGUAAGCAACGCAUAUGAAAAAGGAAGGGUUGUCCAGUUUCCAGAACCCCUUGGAAGCCUUGGGCCCUUUGCAGGGCACAACGUUUAAUCCUCCCGACUCGGAGAGGACGCCUUAGUCCCACUUUACAGAUGGCCAAACUGAGGCCGAGGCAGAGAAAAAGAUUUGGUGAGUGGAGAGUGGCGAGACCGUGGUUCGCACUCUGUGCUCUCUGAAUCCAGGGCCUCUGCUCGUCCCUCUUGUCCUGCUGUGUGACCCUUGUGGCCACCAGCUUGCUCAAUCCCUUGCUCUGGCGGGCCUCGGUUUCCCCAGUCAUUCAAUCGGGGGAAGGGAUAGAAGUCGCUGUGAUCCCUGAGAUCUCUCCCAGUGAUUCUCUUUUUUAAAAAAUAGCUUUCCGGUUAAAUAAACUCUCCUCUCAACAUAGAGCUCAAACUCACAAACCUGAGAUCAAGAGCCGCGUGCCGUCGCGACCUACCUGCUGACCGAGCCAGCCAGGUGCCCCCCA
rnacentral:lncRNA from 1 species